UACGGGGGAUGCAAGCGUUAUCCGGAAUUAUUGGGCGUAAAGGGUCCUGAGGUGGCUAGCCAAGUCUAUUGUGAAAUAUCAGGGCUUAACCCUGAACAUGCGGUGGAAACUAGAAAGCUUGAGUACAGUAGGGGCGGAGGGAAUUUCCGGUGGAGCGGUGAAAUGCAUAGAUAUCGGGAAGAACACCAACGGCGAAAGCACUCCGCUGGGCUGAUACUGACACUGACAGACGAAAGCUAGGGGUAGCGAAAGGG
rnacentral:rRNA from 1 species